GUAGCAUAAUCAUUAGGUUUUUAAUUGGGAUCUUGUAUGAAUGAUUGGACAAGAGAAGUACUGUCUUUGUAUUGAAACUUGAAUUUAACUUUUAAGUGAAAAGGCUUAAAUAUACUAGAGGGACGAUAAGACCCUAUAAAACUUUACAUUUAUAUUAAAUUUUAUGGAAUUUGAAGAUUAUAAUUAUUAAAUUUAAUUUUUUGUUAUGUUGGGGAGACAAAAGCUAUAAUUAUGUAUAACUGCUUUUUAAGGGAAACAAAAAUAAAUGGAGAAAUUAAAGAUCCUUUAUUGAGAUUGUAAGAUUAAGUUACUUUAGGGAUAACAGCGUUAUUUUUUUUGAGAGUUCAUAUUGAAAAAAGAGAUUGCGACCUCGAUGUUGAAUUAAAAUAUCUUU
rnacentral:rRNA from 1 species